GACGAGCGCUGGCGGCGUGCCUAAUACAUGCAAGUAGAACGCUGAAGGAGGAGCUUGCUUCUCUGGAUGAGUUGCGAACGGGUGAGUAACGCGUAGGUAACCUGCCUGGUAGCGGGGGAUAACUAUUGGAAACGAUAGCUAAUACCGCAUAACAGUAGAUAUCGCAUGAUAUCUACUUGAAAGGUGCAAUUGCAUCACUACCAGAUGGACCUGCGUUGUAUUAGCUAGUUGGUGAGGUAACGGCUCACCAAGGCGACGAUACAUAGCCGACCUGAGAGGGGGAUCGGCCACACUGGGACUGAGACACGGCCCAGACUCCUACGGGAGGCAGCAGUAGGGAAUCUUCGGCAAUGGACGGAAGUCUGACCGAGCAGCGCCGCGUGAGUGAAGAAGGUUUUCGGAUCGUAAAGCUCUGUUGUAAGAGAAGAACGAGUGUGAGAGUGGAAAGUUCACACUGUGACGGUAUCUUACCAGAAAGGGACGGCUAACUACGUG
rnacentral:rRNA from 1 species